rnacentral:tRNA from 1 species
GGAGUUGUAGCUCCAUGGUAGAGUGCUUGCCUAGCAUGUGUGAGGCACUGUGUUCGAUCCUCAACACCA